AGCCAACUCUGCUGGAUGAUAGAGGACACUGAUUGCUGCUACCAGGUUCCGUAGGACUCCGUGGCUGUUGACAUGACAUCCACGCCACAAUCCCAAGGAGCUUCAAUCUCAAGUCACAGCCACUAGGCUGCUGGGGUCACAUCGAAAGGUGGGCCAUGACUCCUAAGAAAAUAACCGAGUCCUGGUUGUGAGUGCUCAAGACAGAAGUGCAAGGAUGAAGAAGGAGCCAUGGAACUGCCAGCAUAGGUUUCAGAGUAUCUCCAGAGGGCUUCCCAUCUGCCUCGCCAGUCCAGAAAGGGGCUGCCCGCCUCCACUCUCCAGUCUACAGACGGGCUGCCCACCUCCACUCACCAGUCCAGAAGGCUGCCUUCUUCCAUUUACCAGGCUAGACAGGGCUUCUGGACCCGGGUCCUGGAUCCUGGGAGCCUGUCAUUCACCUCAUAUACUGCUGUUUGUACUUUACAUAGAGCUGGGUGGACAGGCAGAAUUCCAAGCUCCACCUAGGCUGUUCGACCAGAAUCUUCAGUCUUCGGAAUCACUGAGAAUGGAACACCUUAACUUCGGAGGGUCAGAGGCCCAGAGUCCAAGAACACCAAUCCCGAUGCAGUAGAGGGCAGCUCUGUAAAGGGCUGUUCACAAGGAGACAUUUUUCCAAAUCCGAAACUCAGAACUGGGCCAAAAUGUACUGUUGGGUUGACAACCUUGAACCAGUCUGAGUUAAAAGCAAUGAGUUGUAUAGCUGGGUCUUGAGGUAUGGCUAUUCCCAGGUUUCUGAGAAAGAUCCAGGUUGAUUUCCAAAGUGGCUGUACAAGUUUGCACUUCCAUCAGCAAUGGAGGAGGGUUCCCAUUUCUCCACAUCCUCGCCAGCAUGUGUUGGCACUUGAGUUUUUUAUCUUAGCCGUUCUGACAGAUGUGAGAUGGAAUCUCAGAGUCGAUUUGAUUUGCAUUUCCCUGAUGACUAAGGACUUUGAGCAUCUCUUUAAGUGUUUUCCCCCCAUUCGAGCUUCCUCUGUUAAUUCUCUGUGCAGCUCUGUAGCCCAUUUUUAAUUGGAUUAAAAAUUAAGCAUUGUUGGUGCUUAAUUUCUUUAGUUAUUUACAUAUUCUGGAUAUUAUCCCUUUGUUAGAUGUAGGAUUGGUGAAGAUCUUUUCCCAAGCUGUAGCCUGCCUUUUCAUUCUAUUGAUAGUGUCCUUUGCUUUUCGGUUUCCAUUUAUUAACUGUUCAUCUUAGAGCCUGAGCUGUUGGUGUUCUGUUCAGGAAGUUGUCUGCUGUGCCAAUGAGUUCAAGUUUCCUACCCACUUUCUCCUCUAGCAGAUUUAGUGUAUCUGGUUUUAUGUUGAGGCCUUUGAUCUACUUGGAUUUGAG